rnacentral:rRNA from 1 species
GACGGGGAAUGCAAGUGUUAUCCGGAAUCACUGGGCGUAAAGCGUCUGCAGGUGGUUUCCUAAGUCCACUGUUAAACCUUGAGGCUCAACCUCAAAUCUGCAUUGGAAACUAGGAGACUUGAGUAUAGUAGGGGUAGAGGGAAUUUCCAGUGGAGCGGUGAAAUGCGUAGAUAUUGGAAAGAACACCGAUGGCGAAGGCACUCUACUGGGCUAUUACUGACACUCAGAGACGAAAGCUAGGGGAGCAAAUGGG